CAGUGCCGCCUCGCCGGAAGGACCGAAUUGUCACACUACGCGUCGGUUUUCUCGCCGACGACGUUCCUUGCUUCGAGUUCAGGGAAACCGUGGACGGGGACUGCCGCGAAACGAUUUCGAUCCACAACAUUCCCCACCAAAGUCGUAACUGGCGAACUAAAACGCGGCCAGUUCGUCAUCGUCGUCCACCGGUAACCAGUGCAGGCAACCAGAUGCGCCGAAUUUCGUCGGCACUGUGAAAAGUGGUGAUACGAACAUUUUUUUUUAACCUUUCAUUAUUUACGUGAACUUUUUCGCUUUACGUAUAAUUUUUCGUGAAAAAAAAUGGUGUAUCUCGUUAGGCGUUAGUGAAUCGUGUUUUGAUUGUUAUUAUUUUUUUUUUUUUUUUUCGUUUGCUUGUUCUCUAAUUAUUACGUAUCUGCACCUUGUCCGCCGUCAGUCCUACCGACCAUAGGUGUAUCUUGUACAUUUCAAUUUGGUUUUUCCGGAACGGAUAAAACGAUACGCCCGUCCAUUGUUUGUGCAACCGCUCAGAGACGAGUCGUCUGUUUCGUCAACAAACGCUUAACAGUCUGAUGGAUAAUAUUUGUUUUUUCACUGAACAACACCUGAAGAAUAAAGAAAUGCCAUACAAGUGAUUGGCUUUUAUCAAUGUUGUGUUCCAUUAGAGUAAAUGCCUUACUAUUCAGUCAAACUUCUGUGUGCACUAAGACAGAGUACUGUAUGGCUACUUAUUAUAGGCUACUUCCUACUGGUGGAGGCAUUUAUUAAAGAUUAUACCUAAACCGGAAGAAGAAAAUAAAUAACCAAAUUCAGAAUUGGUAAUUAUACAAAUUUAACAUCUAUUUUUUAAUGUAAUAAUGUUAUGGUAAGCUCUUUAAGUUAAAAGGUAUAAGGCUAUUCUAUUAUGAUAUUAUUUAUAAAUUACAUUCUAUAUUUUAUUUUGUGGGUUUAAAAUGUGGUGUUGACUGAAAUUUCAAUGUUUA